UAGUGAGACAAGCACCUCAAAAAGAAACAUUAAUUGUAAGUUACUUGUGCAAAUUAAAUAUCUUGUGUGUUAGCCCUAUUUAGUCUGAGAGACCUUGGAGAAAGCAGCUGUGACAGUUCAAUAAGAACUAUUCCAAUAUUUCAGUAUUGAAACACAAUAAAAAACUCCAUUAAACACAACAUUUAAAUGUAACAAUCUGGGUAUUUGGAUUCCAGAUACAGGAUAUUCCAUCAAUCACACGUUUUGCAUGAACUUGCCUGCUCCUUUGUUACAAGGAGAAGUAUCUCCUGUGUGGAGCAGUGCCCCCCAAGCAUGGCACCAGCUGCCAAAGCUCGAGAUGACUGGCUGGUUCCCAUAUGUGGCUGCGAUAGGAGCUGCUUCCUCCAAAGAAAAGGAGGUGAGAGCAAUCACUGUGAUCCAGUGCUCCGGUCCGCAGGGCUGCACGCUGAGCCCAGCCCUGAGAAAUCUCCACAGUCUGCUUGGCGGUGGAGAAGGUGGUGGAGACAGGGAGACACUUCCUGAAAAUCAGCAUCCCCCCAGCAGCUCCCGGACAUUCCUGGGAGGGGGCUGCUGCUGCUGCUGCUGCUGCUGCUGCUGCUUCAGCGCCUGCGUUGGCACAGCCCCGGGAUAUUUAUGUGCCUCCACCGCCUGGCAGCCGGCCAGUCCCUUUUUAUUUUUUUCCUUUAAGGAAACACCCGCAUAAGGGAAACGAGAGACUCCAACCGUUUCUUUCAGCAGAUCCUCAUGCAGACAAUGAAGAAAAGUUUUCAGGAAUGAUCUUGGUUUUAUAGGUACUUACUGCCUUGAAAGGUCCAUGAUUUACCAAGUACAAGCAUCCUUCUCUAGUUCCAGAACAAACCAGGGAAGAUUACAGUGCUGAAAGCAACUGAAGGGCUGGUGGGGGAAGGGAGUGCAUGGGCUCCUCCUUAAAUGGUGGCUGUAUUCCAAUUAGCACGGAUCCCACAGGAGGCCGUCAGCAGACGGACAGUGCUACUGCUAUAUCAGUAUCCGAACCCCUCCGAAUUUUGUCCGUUUUGGUGCCAUACCAGGAGUGUGUGACUUCGCACAGAGCUGUGAAUCUAUGCAGUGUCACAGUGAUGACAUGGUGGAGAAAGAUCUCUCCUUGUGGCCACCUGGCAAAGGUAAAGGUGGUAGGAACUCUUGACCUGGAUGACAGAAAGCAUGAAUAUCAGCCAGAGUUGUAAAGCUUGUAAAUAAACCCCAAAGACCUGCCAUGCAUGUAUAUGCAGGAUUGAAGGCCAAGAUGUGUCAUGGAUGAAAGCACACGGGAGCACCAGAGUUAGCACAAGCCAUUUGCCACCAAGAGCAGAGAUGAGGAUCUGUUGUCUAGGGGGAAAGCUCACAUUGGCUGAGAGCACACCUGCUGCUAUUUGUUACUGCAUUUGACAAAAUAAACAAGGAGUUUCAAAAAUAUGCAAAGCAUGUGCUUCCUUCUCUCCAGAGCAGGAAAAAGAGGAAUCUUUAUUUCUGUUAAAUAGAUCACCACAAUCUGGGUAUUUUUUGAGCUGUGGCCAGUUAAAAGAGAAAGAUCCCUGCAGUGGUAAUCAUCCACUCCCAUGGUACAUUUUAGGUACUGCCAGAGGGCUCCUGGCAUGUUCAGGAGAGCUGAGGGUUUUGACGCACUCUUGCUCAUGAUAGAUGACAGAAGCUGGCAGGAUUAAAAUAGCCUCAGAACAAACUGCUCUUAAUCUUGAAAACAAGCAGACAUAAGGAUGCUGUGACCUAUUCUCACAGGAACAGGCAGACCCCCUGCUGGACGGCUCUCAGGCAAACUAUGAACUCAAGCAGAAAAAAAACAAAGGACUGUGUGAAAAAGAGGGGAGCUACCCUUAGUCAGGGUGCUGUUAGCCAUGAACAAAAGUCUGUGUUUUGCUCAAACUGUGUCAUCCCAGGUUCUACCUCUCAUUAGCCUCCUCCUCCACCACCAUUUGAAGGUUUAGGAGCUGCAUGUUCUUCAUGUAACAUUUUAAUUUUAAGCGUAAGAAAGUUACCUGCUCUAAGGCCUUGAGUCAUAUUAACUAAACCUCAGUUCCACUUCUGAUAGGGAAUCAGUUCUUGGUUUUUCACUCAAGGAAAAAAAAACAAAAUCAAGGGAUCACCUUCUUGAGCAUCUGAAUAUACUGUAAAACUUUGUUUUGAUCAGUUUUCCAAGGCAAGAACAACAUAUUUGUUUCAAGAGUUAUAUGGAGCAAGCAAACAACUUUCAUGGGUACUGAGCUCUUGAGAUGAAUGUCUGGAUAGGAACAAGAGAAGUACGGGAAUUAGCCUACUAAGCUGAAGAAAAUCUUUUGCUUGGGAGCUCAUUGCAGCUCAAUUCACACAGUGCUUCAUUGUUACCUGGAUUGCUUAUACCAAAAAUAACAAACACACUUCCUCCAGACCCAAAUAAAAAGCCAGGCUCAGUGACAGGAGAUGACCUUUCCUUUGCAGCACUUGAGGACUUGGGUGGGUGGUGACACACAGAGAGUCUGGAAGCCUGCAAAAUGCAGUGAUAUCUCCCCCUACCUCCCCAAAAACCUCUGCUUGGGUAAAGAGAUAAAUGACAAAUUUGGGAGAGCAACUAUAAUUGCCUCUGCUGUCACCUCCAGAAAGUUUUCUGAGUUUUGAGCAUAUUGCAUCUGUCAAUGGCUGAAGAAGGAUAUUUGCUUCUGUGAGAGGCACCGAAGAGCAGAGGCCACCUGAUCACACACAGCCCUGGGAAUGGGGCUGACAAUUAACCUUAGAUCUCAAUGUUUCACAGUCUCCACAGCAACUUCCCUUCUCGAAGGACCUGCAGGAUGCACCUUGCACAGGUGGCCUCUGGCCACUGCUGGGGUCCCAAAUGUGGGUUCCUGCUGGAGGAGGCUGCAAACACCUUUUCCCAGAGUAUCGCUACGGUGGGGAACAGGAAGAGAAAGGAGUGGAGGAGCAAUGGGGCCAUAAACCCAUCUCUUGAUUUUGCCGGUGGUUUAGGUUGCUUAAAGGAAGGAUUUCACUAACUUCAGGGAUAAAAACUCAACUGCUUGUCUGUCACUGUUCAGUGACCAAGUAACAUUAUUGUCGGUAAAAUAAACGGGGUUUUAACACCUUACGGUUUCAAAGCUGCUAUACUUUAUUCUCUCCCUUUUUAUGGUUUAUUCUGAGGGGGCAGAAAACCAAACAUCUUCAAAAUUACUAUUUCUUUUCCUUCCUAGUAACUCUCUGGUAAGUUUUAAUUUAGGCAAAGCAAAGCAAACACUAUCCUAUCUGUCAUUAGCUGCAAUACUUUUUACAUUUCAAGUCUGGUAAUAAAACACAGAGGUGUGCUCCAUAUUUCCACCCAUGAGUUGAAACUUAGGAAAUUAGCAGUAACAGAUAAAUAGGGAUACAACUCACUAAUUUUAAAAAAAUAAUUAUGUCAUUGUUUUCAAAUGUUACAAUUACUUAAGUAACAGAAAUUUUUGUUUUCUUGUCAAUGUAUCCUAAUUUAUGACAACUAGUAGCUUUGAUAUUUUUUUUUGUUUUAUCCUGUCUCUCACUCUUUAACUGGGGUAACCCAUCAGUCACUUUCAAUUUGCUCUCCAUAUCUGGCACAGAAGCAGCUGGAGCCAACACUUAAGGAAUUAUGCCAGACCUUUCCCCCUGCCUGUUUGACCGAGAGCAUUCUUCCAUCUGCUGUUGCAGACCCCCCCUUUCACAACAACUGAGUCCUGCUCACUGCUUCCUUAUCUUAUAUCCCUGUCCUGCCCUAUUCCACAAAGGCCUUGACUUGUAGUUAAUUCCACCUCAAGUUUUAGUAAACACUGAAGCUCCAAUGUGCUGGCCAGGCUGCCUGCACAUUGCCUCUUCCCCAGUUUUUCUGUGAACAUCUGGCAUGCUCAUUUCACACUCUGCACAGUGAAGCAGAAGUAUUAGAUGGCUUAUCUACGCAAUGCAGAUACAUCUAGCAUUUCACAGUUAUUGCUAAAACUGUAGUUAAGCUGCUAUUUGGCUAAUAUCCUUCAAUGCAGUAACUUGUACCACCACCAAUUAACACCAGAGAGGAUUUAACGCUGAAAUUUUGCCCAGACUUUUUUGACUUACACAGCAUCAUAAGGCUGCUGCUACUUUCUCAGCAGUCACAGUGUUUGUGUGUUUUGAAGGAUGCCAUUAUGCACAUGCUAACUUCUUUCCCAUCAGCACAAAACACCCUUCUCUCUUUCUCUACAACUGCUCUUUGCCAAAGAGUAAAUUUUCAUCCCUGUGCUUUUGUUGCCUAAAUACCCCCAUCUGACCUAUGACCCUUCAGCCAAAAGACCCCCUGCUUAGGUUGCACUUUCUUUUCUUAGGUCAGAUAGGAAAGAACUCAACCAUGUAUUAAAACAGGAGCUUGUUACAGACCAGCCUCAUGGCUCGCUCGGUUUCCCACUGCCACUCCAAGGGCUUUAUGAAGCAACAGCUCCCACCCCAAGGAGAAGGAGCCUCCCAUUCCCUUGGCCCCCCCAACCCAACACAGAACCAGGGGAAACAUUUUUCCCUUCUGAAUUAGCUACCAAUUAACUUCUCACUUUGGACUUAGUGGUGAAGACUUGAAGCAUUUCAUUGCAUUAAUUCUUCUGAAGACUUUUUAUAAAAAUAUUGAAGUCAAUGUCCCCAGUAAAAUUUAUCUUUGUUUCCUCCAGAAGAAACAUGAGGAAAAGAGGGGCAAAAAGGAAUUAGAGUAUAUAGGUUUGUUUUCUUCUUAUAAAAGGCUAAUCCACAGAGGGUAAAAGUUUCAUUUUCUCAGUGUAAAUAGCACGUUUAUUUAGUGCUCUCAAGUAUAUUUCCAAAUAAGUAAGUGGAGCAAUGCUGCUGUUUACAUAUGGAUUCCCAAACCUCCCUGCACCAAUGUGAGUUAAUAACAGAUCAACAACUCUCUCAGACAAAGUACAGGGUGGGGGAAAAGGACUGUUUUUGCUUGGUGAAAUGCCUUUAGAUCAGAAAGUGCUUACAGCAUAAUAGACCAUAAAUCAUGAUAUGAAAAAAUGAAAACAUUGUGUCACUCAUGCAGGCAGAAGCAAGUGAGUGAUGUCAUCACUCAUCUUUUUACCAAUAUGCUAUUAGACCUAACACUGUAUUUCCAAAUAAGAUGGUUUCCUUGAAAUUAUGCAGUGAUAUUGCUUUUAACUGAAAAAUGUACAGUGAAAUAGUUAAGUAGAAUAAAGAAAAAAAAAUAAAAAACAAACAUUGCUACUUACAAAUAAUGUAAAUUAUUCCACAUAUAGUAGGGGACUGUCUUAAGUAGCAAGAUUUUUAAUGAAGUAAAAAAUUAUUUACUUACAUAGUUUAGACUGCUCUGAAGUGUGAUUUUAUUCAUAGUUUCAAACAGACAGAACAAAGAUGGAAAUCCUUCAGCUUCACAGUGUGUGUAAAUUAUCUGGUUAUCCUGCAGCUGAAAUCUUACAAAGGCUGCUGAUAUAACCCAUCUUGCACAAGCAAAGCCUUCUUCUAUUGUUUAAAUAUUCCUGUUUUACAAACAGCACUGUUAAUAAUAGCCCUGAAGGAUACAUUUGUUGAUACACAUCAACAGGUGAUAGAAAUAUUUUCCUGUAUUUAAAUGAGAUGUAAUUACAACUUUGCUAAAGCAAACCACACUCUGUUUAUAAUGGAAGUUAAAGCACUCCCAAAUCACUGUCUCACUAAUCCUCUGAGACCUGCAAGAGAACACAUGAGCUCCCAGAUGUUUAACAUCAUUCUAAAUGUGUGCAGUCACA